GACGAAUUCUGGCGGCGUGCUUAACACAUGCAAGUCGAACGGAAAGGCCCUGCUUUUGUGGGGUGCUCGAGUGGCGAACGGGUGAGUAACACGUGAGUAACCUGCCCUUGACUUUGGGAUAACUUCAGGAAACUGGGGCUAAUACCGGAUAGGAGCUCCUGCUGCAUGGUGGGGGUUGGAAAGUUUCGGCGGUUGGGGAUGGACUCGCGGCUUAUCAGCUUGUUGGUGGGGUAGUGGCUUACCAAGGCUUUGACGGGUAGCCGGCCUGAGAGGGUGACCGGCCACAUUGGGACUGAGAUACGGCCCAGACUCCUACGGGAGGCAGCAGUGGGGAAUAUUGCACAAUGGGCGGAAGCCUGAUGCAGCAACGCCGCGUGCGGGAUGACGGCCUUCGGGUUGUAAACCGCUUUCGCCUGUGACGAAGCGUGAGUGACGGUAAUGGGUAAAGAAGCACCGGCUAACUACGUGCCAGCAGCCACGGUGAUACGUAGGGUGCGAGCGUUGUCCGGAUUUAUUGGGCGUAAAGGGCUCGUAGGUGGUUGAUCGCGUCGGAAGUGUAAUCUUGGGGCUUAACCCUGAGCGUGCUUUCGAUACGGGUUGACUUGAGGAAGGUAGGGGAGAAUGGAAUUCCUGGUGGAGCGGUGGAAUGCGCAGAUAUCAGGAGGAACACCAGUGGCGAAGGCGGUUCUCUGGGCCUUUCCUGACGCUGAGGAGCGAAAGCGUGGGGAGCGAACAGGCUUAGAUACCCUGGUAGUCCACGCUGUAAACGGUGGGUACUAGGUGUGGGGUCCAUUCCACGGGUUCCGUGCCGUAGCUAACGCUUUAAGUACCCCGCCUGGGGAGUACGGCCGCAAGGCUAAAACUCAAAGGAAUUGACGGGGCCCCGCACAAGCGGCGGAGCAUGCGGAUUAAUUCGAUGCAACGCGUAGAACCUUACCUGGGUUUGACAUGGAUCGGGAGUGCUCAGAGAUGGGUGUGCCUCUUUUGGGGUCGGUUCACAGGUGGUGCAUGCCUGUCGUCAGCUCGUGUCGUGAGAUGUUGGGUUAAGUCCCGCAACGAGCGCAACCCUUGUUCACUGUUGCCAGCACGUUAUGGUGGGGACUCAGUGGAGACCGCCGGGGUCAACUCGGAGGAAGGUGGGAAUGACGUCAAGUCCUCAUGCCCCUUAUGUCCAGGGCUUCACGCAUGCUACAAUGGCUGGUACAGAGAGUGGCGAGCCUGUGAGGGUGAGCGAAUCUCGGAAAGCCGGUCUCAGUUCGGAUUGGGGUUUGCAACUCGACCUCAUGAAGUCGGAGUCGCUAGUAAUCGCAGAUCAGCAACGCUGCGGUGAAUACGUUCCCGGGGCU
rnacentral:rRNA from 1 species